CUCCUCUCCGACAGGUGGCAGCGACCUAGCGCUUCAUCCGGCGACGCGAUCCCGCUCCGGGUAACCCUCAAGAUCCCUCGAGACGAUGAUCGCCACCGUCAAGGCCCCUUUGACGCCCAUGUCGCCGUCAUUCGGCUCCUCCAUACCCUCGAUUUCUCCGGAGCCGUCGCCUCGGUUACUGACGCCCUGGAGAUGAUGCCGGUGGCGCUGGAGUUCCUGUUUGAGGAUUGCGUCCGGGCUUGCGUUCGGUUCCUCGAGGCAAUGCCUUGGACGGAGGAGGAGGAAGAAAGGGUCCUCACGUUGAUCCCUUUCCUCGGUGAAGAGGAAUCCCGGGAACUCGUCGCUAGGGUUUCGCCCGUGGUGGCGGCCUCGGGAGAUUGGAAGAGCAUGUCUGAAGAAAUGCUUCAUGGAUUGAUCGACGUGGCGAUCAGGCGGCACCCCAAUGUGGCCACCGUCAAGGCUUUUGUGGCGAAGAUACUGAAGGAUUUCCCGUAUCGGGAAUCGGUACAGAGGGUACUGGACCAGGCCUUCUUGUCAAGCUUGGAGACGGUGAAAGAUUACUUGGGCAAGUAUGCGAGCCCAGAUGU
rnacentral:lncRNA from 1 species